rnacentral:lncRNA from 12 species
GUUGACUUGAUUGCAAAUUAUUGCACAGAUACUAUUUAAACUGAACUGAGCUGCAUGAUGACAUCACUGAAUUCAAUGAUGAACUGCCUUUAACUGUCAUUUUGCAUUAUUGACACACUGUUUUCCUAAUUAAUGUUGUUCAGUUGCUUUGACACAAUCUUUUUGUUUAAAGCGCUAUAUAAAUAAAGGUGACUUGACUUGACUUGACUUGACAUUGUUAAUACUCUAUUUACACACAUUACCAUUGUUUUACUCACUGUUACUUGCAUUAAUGGCAGAUGUGUGUCUACCUUUGAGUGCAGCUCCAGCUGGAGGCCAUGGAGAAGAAGAUCCACGACUUGUUGGAGAAGCAGUCCCAGCUGAGAGAGCGGAGAGCUGCACUGGAAACAUCCCAGGCUGAUGCUCACAAGUCCAAAAUCCGCGAUCCUGAAGGGCGACGAGAGCCCAGGAACGGUCAUGCUUCACACCAGGGUUAACGACACCACGCUGCGGCAGACGGAGACACAGCCUGAUCGAGACGGUGUGCAGCACAUCGCCCGUGGUGACGAUCAUCGUAUCAGGACCGCUUCCAACGUAUUGACGAGGACAUGAAAAGGCAGUUCGUGAAGACAGAUAAUCAAGAGAUGUGACAAACUGUACAGAAGUCAGUUCCAGAUCCACCCUCCACUCUGGACUUCGCUCUCGUAUGGAUUGCUGUCUACUAGCAUAUUGUGUUCUCUUCAAACUUCGGUGGAUGCAGAUACUACUCAGGGACAUGAACACUUGAAUAUUGCAAGAAUAGAAAAUGUGAAAAUUACUUAAGAUUUAAGAAUUAAAUCAAAUGUUAAUUGCUUAAACUUUUCACUUUUCCAGUUGCCACGACGUAACUAGUUACGUAGCCACGACGUAUAUCGCAAGCCGUUUUAGCAUUUAAAACUUGGUUUGACUAUCCAUAAAUAUAAUUUCGGAUAGUCACAAUUGUAAUUUGGAUAGUAAUAAUUAAAAUUCGACUAGUCACAAUGACAGUUAGAGAUAUCUGCAAUUAUAAUUGCACUAGUGAGAAAUCGGAUUAGAGAUAUCUCUAAAUACUUUGACUAGUCAAAACUCCAUUUAAGAUACCCUUAUGAAAAAGAAGUUUAUUCAAGUGUGCUAUUUUACUUCUUUUAAACUAAAAAUAGGAAAGUAUGCUUUUAGUUUACUUUUUAUGUACUUCUCAGAAAUGGGCUUUAUGUACUCCUCAGAAAUAUACUUAAAAUGACAUUUAAGUAUACUUGACUUAUACUUACAAAAAGUCUAAAUAUACUUGAACUUUACUUAAGUAUACUUAAUAAAAUAAACUUGAAGUAUACUACUUUUUGGUAAGGGUAUCUGU